rnacentral:misc_RNA from 1 species
UUCAUGUGGUAUGCACGCGGUUUUGUCUCCGGCUCCAUUCAUCGGGCUUUCUGCCGCUGCAUCAACGACUAGACACAUCCCGCGCGACCCACACAGAACGUCGCUCUGCACUUCGCCCUCUCUCGCCUUAUCGUCGACCUCCUCUCGUACCUCGUGAUGCCGGUUCCAUUGUAUUGGCGGAUGGCGUGCCGUUCAUAUCAGUUCACCAUAUGCGCGACAAGCUACCUGCUGCGUUGGCGAGAGCCAGCAGUCACCCAAGGCUCCGGCGCCCUGGCAACGUUGCCGCAUCUGGUACGUGGGGCGAGGCUAAAGCGGGGGCUUCUGGUCACAGAUGCAAUGAUCAUGAAGCUUGGCCUCGUCGACGACUUCAUCGACGAGAUGAAGAAGCAGGGCGCCGAGCUGGCCAUCUACAAGGACGUUUUGCCCAACCCCACCAUCGACAUGGUGGAGGAGGCCAGUGCACUGUACAAGAAGAAUAAGUGCGACUACCUCGUUGCCGUCGGUGGCGGGAGCGUCAUGGACUGCGCGAAGCUGAUUGGCGUGCGCCAGGCGCGCCCCCGCACCCCGCUUCCGUACAUGCGGGGCCUCCUCCGUGUUCUGUGGCCACUGCCGCCGCUCAUCGCCGUUCCUACAACGGCGGGAACGGGGAGCGAGUGCACGAUUGCCGCUGUUGUCAGCGACCCCGCGAAAAAAGACAAGCUUGUCGUCAUGGAUCCCUUCCUUACUCCCUCCCACUGCGUGCUCGACCCGGCCCUGACAAUGACACUGCCCAAGUUUGUGACGGCCACCACCGGCAUGGACGCCUUGACGCAUGUUGUGGAAGCGUACACGAACGUCUUCCACUACCGCACCGUAGACAAGGCGGCACUGCGCGCCAUGGAGCUGCUCGCCAAAUACCUUCCGUGCGCGUACAAGGACGGGAGCAACCUGGAGGCGCGCGAGAAGAUGCUGCAGGCGUCGUACCUCGCCGGUCUCUCCUUCACACGUGCGGGUGUCGGCAACGUGCACGCGGCGGCGCACGCGGUGGGUGGGUUGUACAAUGUGCCGCACGGCUACGCGAACGCCGUGAUUCUACCGCACGUGCUGGACAUGUACGGCAGCGCGGCGCACAAGUCGCUCGCUCGGCUUGCUGAGGCAGCAAACAUCGUUGGUGGCAACGACGCCGAGAAGGCGGCGAACUUCAUUUCGUGGGUUCGCGAGAUGAAUGCGCAGAUGCAGAUACCAACGACGCUCGGCGCCAGUGACUCGCGGUGGGUCCCUCAGGAGGAGGACAUCCCCUUCCUCGUAAAGCACGCCGUCAUCGAGGCGAAUCCAUUCUACGCCGUGCCGGUGAUAUUUGGAGAGGAGGAAAUGACUGAGCUCUUCCGCCGCAUCAUGUGAGAAAUUGUGCAGUGCGUGUAUGCGCACAGAACGGGUAGGCGUGCGCUAGCAGUUGGUGUGGUGCUCGAGACGUGCUCACGCAUCCCUUCACAGAAGGCGCGUCCUUCCUUUUCCCUUGCCGCGUUACGUGAACCUGCUGAGCUGUUCGUGUAGAGAGGUGUGAAGAGGGUGUCUCGGCAGUUUUGCUCAUAUAUCGAAGAUGUUUGCUCCACGAAGAAAAUAUAUGAUACGUAUGCCAAACCCUUCUGUUUUCCCGCGUUCCCUCCUCGGGCGUCUGCUCGUGGUGGGCCGCAUUCCCAUCAACGGAUGGCCGCAGGCGGGCGCACCGACUCGGUCUCGCCUUCCCCCGAAACAAAAGGAACGUGUGCCUGGGAAGGGGGGGGGCGCCUAAGCCGCCUCGCGCGCGCC